CUGGUGAGGUUUCUGAGGUAAAUUGAUGCGGAAAGAACAGCUACACCAAUCUGAUUUCUGAAAGGUGUGGCAACCCUGUUUCUUUACUUUUAGCAUGCAUUAUUUUGUUGUGGUUGUUUAUAUGGUUUUAAUUCCAAUAAUGUUCAGUUGAUUUUCAUUGUGUUUUGAAAAAAACCUUUAAAAAAAACCACCCGGUGUUUUUAUUUUAUCUGUAAGACACCUUGAAUCCUCGUCAGGGAAAAAUGAGGGGUAUGGGUGAAUAUAUAAUCAUCACAACCAUCAUCACCAUGAAUAAAAAUAAUAUUUAUUCAUUUCUAUCCCAACAUUUUCCGAGAGUGGGGACUCAGUGCGGCUUACAAGAAAAUUUAAACAGCACAGAUUAAAAUACAAAAAGCUAAAGAUAAUGGUUAACAAACUGAAACAUCAAUGGGAAUUUUCAAAAAUCCAGCUUUUCUGAAAUUUGAUAUUCCAAGAAAUUAAUAAAAUAACAGAACAACAAUGGGAAGUCUCAAACCGGAAUUACCGUAGCUUUAUUAAAUGUACUUCAAGACAACAAUCUGGAUUUACAUGAUAAUCAAUAAGCCAUUUAUUACAAGCGACAAGACGCAACCAGACACUGGAAAGAUUUCUGGCACAACAAUAAAACAAUCAGUAUAAAACAGUUAGCAGGACUCCAAGAGAUUAACAAAUAAACUACAGUUGACAUGUGGACAGAUCAAGAAAAAUGGCUUUGUCCUGAUGCCAAUUACGGUAAUCUUCACUUUGAACCCCAUUCCCAUGUUCAUCAAUAUACCAACAUUUUAUAUGGUCUCAUUGGUGACAUAAGAGGAAAAAUGAGUAUUACUCAUACUUAAUAUAAGCACAAUCAUAAGGGCUUCUGAUUAGGCAUUUAGCUAUGCAAUGUUGACUGUUAUCUGUCAACUCUGUUAUAUCCUGUUUCCCUUUUGUUUAAACCAAUUCGCAAGCUAAGAACAUAUACAUUGACCACUAAUAAUGAACCAAAAGUUGUAGAUACUGUUUUUGUUGUUUAGUCGUGUCCGACUCUUCGUGACCCAUGGACCAGAGCACGCCAGGCACUUCUGUCCUCCACUGCCUCCCGCAGUUUGGUCAAACUCAUGCUGGUAGCUUCGAGAACACUGUCCAACCAUCUCGUCCUCCGUCGUCCCCUUCUCCUUGGGCCCUCAGGCUCCAAUACUUUGGCCACCUCAUGAGAAGAGAAGACUCCCUGGAAAAGACCCUGAUGUUACAUCCCUCCAAACCAUGGAGCACGGGGCUUUUCUUCAGUCCAAACUCACCACUACCUCAGGUGGGUGCCAUUGACAAGGGAGGCAUUCAUGGUACAGAUGCCUGCGACUGAUUGUUGUCAUGACAAUAUGAGCAUUUUAAGGCAGAACAUUGCUGAACGGUGGAGUCUCAUUCCCCCUCCAAAUCCCCUUCUCAAAGCAUCUCAUCGAUCACAAGAACAAGCAUCACAAAACACCAAGCAAGACCAGACGGCUUCACUCAGUGGAAUUGGCACUUUUACAGGUCCCACAUAACACCCUUUCUGCAUUUGCAAGAACUGCUCCUUGGAACUCCCUGCUGGAAAAUAAAUCUUGUUUAGACAAGCCUACACAGGUGCUUAGAAAGCCGAGAGCAACAUAUCGAUCCAAGCCUGCUCGUGCCACCUCUUAGCUUGCGCCAAGCAGAGCGCAUGCACCGGGAUGCCCAUCAACACUCCUACUGCUGCUGCGUCCGAAAGGGCACCGAAAAUGAGGCAGCAUAUGCAGAAGACUAUUUAUAUGAGAGACCAUUCAAACAUGCUAUUCCUCACUUCUAAUGUGAGAUGGUAAAAAGGUAAAGGUAAAGGGACCCCUGACCAUUAGGUCCAGUCGUGACCGACUCUGGGGUUGCGGCGCUCAUCUUGC